rnacentral:lncRNA from 13 species
GCUGCAAUCGCUGCUCACUGCAACCUCCACCUCCCAGGUUCAAAUGAUUCUUCUGCUUCAGCCUCCCAAGUAACUGGGAAUACAGACAGGUUUUCUCAUCUGAUGACAGAAGGAGAAGUCAGGGAGAUUCAAAACAUGAGGAGAACUUGAUUUAGAAUUCUUGACUUUGAUGAUAAAGGAAGCCAUGUGAGAAGAAAUUCAGGAAGUAACCAGAAGCAGAGGCCAACUCCCAAUUGACAGCUAGCAGGGAUAUGGGGACCUUAGACCUACAACCUCAAGAAACUGCAAUGAACUUGGAAGCAGGUUCUUCUGUACAGCUUCCAGGGAUAAAAUUUGCUGACAUAAUGACCAAACAUUAA